UAAUUAACCUAUAAUUCGAAUCUAAAGUCACGUGGAUGGAAAUUCAAAUUCGUAGGCGUUACGUUUUGGCUGUAGGUCAGGAAUCGGGAUGCAUUGAUAAGUGAAUAUUAUAGAUUUUCUUGAACAAAAAGGUAGUUAAAGUGUUGGACAUGCUCUCAAAGGUCGGAGGGACGGAAACACGUGAAUAUGUAAAAAGAAACAUAUGAAAUGAAAAUGAUGUCACACACGCUAUUGGGCGCUACAAACGCUACAUAUCCUCCGGACAGACGAGGGGUGCUGAAAGAAGGUCAUAUCUUAAAGCAUCACACCUCAAAAUUCGUGCUAAUUCUCAUGGAUAUCUAAAAGUAUAACUUUGUGAAGUAACUAAAAGGCAGCAAUUUAUACAUUACUGACAAUUAUCAAAGGAGGUCAAAAUAUGCAAAAUGGCACUUAAUGUUUUAGAAAUGCUGUAGAAAUAUAGUUAAA